CACUCCUGCGGGAGGCAGCAGUGGGGAAUUUUGGACAAUGGGCGAAAGCCUGAUCCAGCCAUGCCGCGUGCAGGAUGAAGGCCUUCGGGUUGUAAACUGCUUUUGUACGGAACGAAACGGCCUUUUCUAAUAAAGAGGGCUAAUGACGGUACCGUAAGAAUAAGCACCGGCUAACUACGUGCCAGCAGCCGCGGUAAUACGUAGGGUGCAAGCGUUAAUCGGAAUUACUGGGCGUAAAGCGUGCGCAGGCGGUUAUGUAAGACAGUUGUGAAAUCCCCGGGCUCAACCUGGGAACUGCAUCUGUGACUGCAUAGCUAGAGUACGGUAGAGGGGGAUGGAAUUCCGCGUGUAGCAGUGAAAUGCGUAGAUAUGCGGAGGAACACCGAUGGCGAAGGCAAUCCCCUGGACCUGUACUGACGCUCAUGCACGAAAGCGUGGGGAGCAAACAGGAUUAGAAACCCUUGUAGUCCC
rnacentral:rRNA from 1 species